AGAGACAACAUGAAAAGAAGAAAGAAAGGAAGAAAGAAAAAAGUAAUGAACAAAAGAUUGAAUUUUGUGUGUGUUUAUUUUAUGUAU
rnacentral:ribozyme from 1 species